rfam:Cavia porcellus supercont2_3 genomic scaffold, whole genome shotgun sequence.
CUCUAUAUAGCUCAGUAGUAGAGGGCUUGUCUAGCAUGCACAAAGCCCUGGGUUCAAUCCCCAGUAUAAAAA